rnacentral:lncRNA from 10 species
GAGAGCCACGUGCUGCAGCCUCAAGGGAUCCCUAGCAGGCAGGAGAAGACAGGAGACCGGAGCAGGGAAGUGGUGAGAGUUAUGCUGAAAUGAACGACACCAACCGAGAGAGUCUAUGGAGGAAGAAGGGAAGAAGGCAGAGGACAGAAAACACUACAUCUCCAAAGUCAGGCCAGCAGAAGAGAAACCAGUGAGAGAAACUGAGGUCAGAGAGGCCGGAGCAGAACCAGGAUAGCCAAGGGAGGAGAGACUUAUCAGACUCAGCUGCUACUGAGAAGGCGUCUAAGUUUGGGUUUCCCAAAAAGAAGAGCCUGAGCUUGGAUUUAACAAAGGACUGUAGACUACUGAAAGUUCUUCUCAGCCUCCUACCUCUUAGGCACUAUCUCCUGCUGAGUCUGGCUGCCUCUCACAAAUCGAUAAAUAUCCCCCAUGGGACAGACCAUGCAGAAUGUUGGCCUCACCUCAACAUGCUUUCCCUUUCUUCUGGGACGUUGGCCCUUCAAAGCCUCCUGCCUUGAUGAAUUUCCACUGUCUUCAAACAUAUUUAAAAAAAUUUGUACCCAGCUAUGCAAAGGCAUACAGAGUGGUAUAAUGGAUAUUGGAG